UACGAAGGGGGCUAGCGUUGCUCGGAAUUACUGGGCGUAAAGCGCGUGUAGGCGGUUCCGCCAGUCUGGUGUGAAAGCCCAGGGCUCAACCCUGGAAGCGCAUUGGAUACUACGGAGCUUGAGUCCUGAAGAGGAGAGCGGAAUUCCCGGUGUAGAGGUGAAAUUCGUAGAUAUCGGGAGGAACACCAGUGGCGAAGGCGGCCAUCUGGGCUGUAACUGACGCUGAGGCGCGAGAGCGUGGGGAGCAAACAGG
rnacentral:rRNA from 1 species